rnacentral:misc_RNA from 1 species
AUAAAAUCAUGUUCGAGUUUCCGUGCAUACGAGUCCGCAUUUUAUACCAUCAAACUCACAAUGUUCAUGGCAAUGGAAAAUUUGGCAUUUGCCUAGAAGGAAGAAAAGAAUUCUAAUUAACAGGGCCAAAUAUUUUUGGUCUUUAUCAUGGACAAGUCAUUAGACUAAUAUUUUAUCUCAUCAGAGAAAUUAGUUAAUUUUCAAUGCAAUAAAAA